rnacentral:rRNA from 1 species
UACGGAGGGUGCAAGCGUUAUCCGGAUUUACUGGGCUUAAAGGGUGCGUAGGUGGGUAGGUAAGUCAGUGGUGAAAUCUCCGAGCUUAACUCGGAAACUGCCAUUGAUACUAUUUAUCUUGAAUAUCCUGGAGGUGAGCGGAAUAUGUCAUGUAGCGGUGAAAUGCUUAGAUAUGACAUAGAACACCGAUAGCGUAGGCAGCUUACUACACAAAUAUUGACACUGAGGCACGAAAGCGUGGGGAUCAAACAGG